rnacentral:rRNA from 1 species
AUUGAACGCUGGCGGCAUGAUUUACACAUGCGAGUCGAACGGUAACAGGCCGCAAGGUGCUGACGAGUGGCGAACGGGUGAGUAAUGCAUCGGAACGUGCCCAGUCGUGGGGGAUAACUACUCGAAAGAGUAGCUAAUACCGCAUACGAUCUAUGGAUGAAAGCGGGGGACCGUAAGGCCUCGCGCGAUUGGAGCGGCCGAUGUCAGAUUAGGUAGUUGGUGGGGUAAAGGCUCACCAAGCCAACGAUCUGUAGCUGGUCUGAGAGGACGGCCAGCCACACUGGGACUGAGACACGGCCCAGACUCCUACGGGAGGCAGCAGUGGGGAAUUUUGGACAAUGGGCGCAAGCCUGAUCCAGCAAUGCCGCGUGCAGGAAGAAGGCCUUCGGGUUGUAAACUGCUUUUGUACGGAACGAAACGGCUCUGGUUAAUACCCGGGGCUAAUGACGGUACCGUAAGAAUAAGCACCGGCUAACUACGUG